AUUGUAGAAAUGUGGCGUUUAGUAUUUACAAUUAUUUCAUUUCUAAAUACUGAUAUUGUGAAUGCAUAUUAUGUUUUGAAUGCAAGUGCGGUAACAUGGAGGGAUGCACAAAAUAUCUGCAACGUUCCAUCUGUAAAUGAUAUCAAGCACACGGAGAUAGCUUAUACUGAACUACCCACAACGUUCACUGCAUGGACGUCUUCAUUCAGUCGAACAUCUGAUUGGGCAUAUUUCUAUGGUUGCUUGGAUGUAUCAGUUGAUAUGGUUAGAAAUGAUAUAAAAAGAAAGUUGAACAAAUAUUUUCCAAACAGUACAAACGCCACUGAAUCCGAAAGCGUAUUCAAAUGUGCAUAUUUGUGUACAAGAAAUGGCGAUUUUUUUACAUUCUUUAGACGAUUUUGUAAGUGUAUUCAUCAGAACGAUAUAAAAUCAGGUAUAGUGCAGCGUCCAGUGUGUAUGUCCACAGAUUUACAGAUCGCGCAUAAUAUUGAUGCAGUGUAUUCGAUAUCGCAUUCUUCACUUUCAAUCUUCAAAUUUGAAACAGGUAUGCCCCUAUCUGCAGAAACUGUUCGCUUAAAAAUUGAGUUGACUCCAUCUUGGAUAAUCCUCAACGAAAUAUAAUAAGUUUACUUGAACCGCCAUUUUUUCAGAGUGUGACAUGUCAUGAGCAAUACAGAACUCAUCAGAGAUAACAGUCGUUUAAUUUCGUAUGCCAGACGCGGGUUUCGUCUGUAUGAGACUCAUCAGCGACGCUCAAUUCAUGACAUGUU